AGUUUUUGCAGGUGAUUUGUUCUUUCAUCCAUCAUUAGCAGUAUUUCGCCUGUCAUCCAAAAUUUACUUUUUCCCUGUCUUUGGUUCUAAUUGCUUCUUCUGCUAAAAUACUCAGUACUUUUGCAUUUCCAUUGAUCUUGUGUGUGACACUGUGAAUCUGUUAAUUUACCUAUUGGAGUAAAACUGGAAGCCGAUAAUCACAGUUUGAAAAUGUAUUUUUAUGGUACCUGCAAUCCUGUAUCGUUUUCUAAAAUGCCUUGCUACUUAUGUUUCCGUUAUACAGUCUUAAACCAAAUAUAUCCCCAGAUAUUAAUUCAGAUAAGCCAACAAACGCAGAAUUCCAUCGGCAACCAAUCCAGCGAAAUGCCUAUAACCAAAUCAGAUGAUUUGCCCAUAAGCACAUGUGUCUGUUAAUAGAUAACGCAUUCUUGCGACCGUAGGUUGCAAGAAUGCAGUCAGAUUAUAUCAAAAUAUAUUUAUUUACUUGA